UCGAUACUAAGGCGAUCGAGAGAACUGUGGUUAAGGAACUCGGCAAAAUGCCCACGUAACUUCGGGAGAAGGGGGACCAGUCCUGGUGACGACAUUUACUGUCUGAGCUGGGGUUGGUCGCAGAGACCAGAGAGAAGCGACUGUUUACUAAAAACACAGGUCCGUGCGAAGUCGUAAGACGAUGUAUACGGACUGACGCCUCCCCGGUGCUGGAAGGUUAAGAGGACCGGUCAGCCACUUCGGUGGCGAAGCUGAGAAUUUAAGCCCCAGUAAACGGCGGUGGUAACUAUAACCAUCCUAAGGUAGCGAAAUUCCUUGUCGGGUAAGUUCCGACCUGCACGAAUGGCGUAACGACUUCUCUGCUGUCUCAACCACAGACUCGGCGAAAUUGCAGUACGAGUAAAGAUGCUCGUUACGCGCGGCAGGACGAAAAGACCCCGGGACCUUCACUAUAGCUUGGUAUUGGUGUUCGGUUCGGUUUGUGUAGGAUAGGUGGGAGACUGUGAAACUCGCACGCCAGUGUGGGUGGAGUCAUUGUUGAAAUACCACUCUGACCGUAUUGGACAUCCAACCUCGGACCAUGAUCUGGUUCAGGGACAGUGCCUGGUGGGUAGUUUAACUGGGGCGGUUGCCUCCUAAAAAGUAACGGAGGCGCCCAAAGGUUCCCUCAGCCUGGUUGGCAAUCAGGUGUUGAGUGUAAGUGCACAAGGGAGCUUGACUGUGAGACGUACAUGUCGAGCAGGGACGAAAGUCGGGACUAGUGAUCCGGCACCGGCAAGUGGAAGCGGUGUCGCUCAACGGAUAAAAGGUACCCCGGGGAUAACAGGCUGAUCUUCCCCAAGAGUCCAUAUCGACGGGAUGGUUUGGCACCUCGAUGUCGGCUCGUCGCAUCCUGGGGCUGGAGUAGGUCCCAAGGGUUGGGCUGUUCGCCCAUUAAAGCGGCACGCGAGCUGGGUUUAGAACGUCGUGAGACAGUUCGGUCUCUAUCCGCCGCGCGCGUAAGAAACUUGAGGAAACCUGUCCCUAGUACGAGAGGACCGGGACGGACGAACCUCUGGUGUGCCAGUUGUUCCACCAGGAGCACCGCUGGUUAGCUACGUUCGGAAGGGAUAACCGCUGAAAGCAUCUAAGCGGGAAGCCUGUUCCAAGAUGAGGUUUCUCACCACCUAGCGUGGUUAAGGCCCCCCACAGACCAUGGGGUUGAUAGGCCAGAACUGUAAGCACAGCAAUGUGUUCAGGUGACUGGUACUAAUCGGCCGAGGACC
rnacentral:rRNA from 1 species